rnacentral:rRNA from 1 species
AGGGAAUCUUGGACAAUGGGCGAAAGCCUGAUCCAGCGACGCCGCGUGGGGGACGAAGGCCCUCGGGUUGUAAACCCCUGUUGUUGGGAAAGAAGCCGGGCUUCGCCCGGUGACGGUACCCAACGAGGAAGCCCCGGCUAACUACGUGCCAGCAGCCGCGGUAAGACGUAGGGGGCGAGCGUUAUCCGGAUUCACUGGGCGUAAAGGGCGCGCAGGCGGCUACGUAAGUCCGGCGUGAAAUCCCACGGCUCAACUGUGGAAUUGCGCCGGAUACUGCGUUGGCUUGAGGGCGGUAGAGGCUUCUGGAACUAGCGGUGUAGCGGUGAAAUGCGCAGAUAUCGCUAGGAACGCCGGUGGCGAAGGCGGGAGGCUGGGCCGAUCCUGACGCUGAGGCGCGAAAGCUAGGGGAGCGAA